GAUGAACGCUGGCGGCGUGCCUAAUACAUGCAAGUCGAGCGAACGGACGAGAAGCUUGCUUCUCUGAUGUUAGCGGCGGACGGGUGAGUAACACGUGGAUAACCUACCUAUAAGACUGGGAUAACUUCGGGAAACCGGAGCUAAUACCGGAUAAUAUUUUGAACCGCAUGGUUCAAAAGUGAAAGACGGUCUUGCUGUCACUUAUAGAUGGAUCCGCGCUGCAUUAGCUAGUUGGUAAGGUAACGGCUUACCAAGGCAACGAUGCAUAGCCGACCUGAGAGGGUGAUCGGCCACACUGGAACUGAGACACGGUCCAGACUCCUACGGGAGGCAGCAGUAGGGAAUCUUCCGCAAGGGGCGAAAGCCUGACGGAGCAACGCCGCGUGAGUGAUGAAGGUCUGCGGAUCGUAAAACUCUGUUAUUAGGGAAGAACAUAUGUGUAAGUAACUGUGCACAUCUUGACGGUACCUAAGCAGAAAGCCACGGCUAACUACGU
rnacentral:rRNA from 1 species